UCCCAACGACAACGGACAGCCGUAUGUUCACGCCCAGGUAAACCUAAAGCGAAUCCUCACAUGCGUUCGACAGGUCAUGCAGUUGAACCCACGUUGAGUGGUGCAGUGGUCAUCGUUGUUGGUGUAAUGUUGGCGGUUAGAGGCUUGUGAAUUACCUUGGCUUACCUCUUUUGAAGGAAGAACAGACGAUAUCAUACGAGUCAGUAUGAACACCUGGCAAUGGAAACAAUAAAACGUUCCUAAAUGAC